UGUUAGCUACAAGAAACAAAUGGUGGAUGUAGACUUGAAGAUGUUCCGUUUUGUCAUGUCAGAUGUACCAUGUCAGCCAAAUGACAAUGACUAUGGAGUAUUUAUUAUGAAAUUCAUGGACAACUGGUCAAAUGGAGGACUCUCCAAAUCCAUCGAUGUGGGCAAGACUAAGAAGUAUAAAUUAUAGAUAAUGGGGAGAUUGUUGCUUUCAUCACGUAAUGCACAUCGACAUCGAUUUAUGGCGGAUUGAGGUAGAUUGUUAAAUUGGAUGUGCCGAGGAUAUUUUCAGAUGAUUGUACAUUAUUUGCUCAAACAUAACUCUUUCCAAUGUAUUGCAAAUAUUAUGACAUAUAUAGAAGUUAGUGAUGAAUUCACAACUAAUGUUAACAACAGUAUGAUUCAUGUUUAAAGCAAGCAAGUUGAGUGUGGAAAAGCCAUUGGCUUCAAAUUUAUUCACAAAUGAA